UGUUUCUUUAAAUGGGGACUUGUUAUCAACGGCACCACGAGGGUUAGACUGUCUCCUUUUUCAAAUCAGUGAAAUUAAUCUCCCCGUGAAGAAGCGGGGAUACUCAUAUAAGACGAGAAGACCCCAUGGAGCUUCAAACCCAACUACACCCCUAGCUCUUAUAGCCCCACAACCCCCCCCCCCCC
rnacentral:rRNA from 1 species